rnacentral:rRNA from 1 species
UACGUAGGGUGCAAGCGUUAAUCGGAAUUACUGGGCGUAAAGCGUGCGCAGGCGGCUUUGCAAGACAGAUGUGAAAUCCCCGGGCUCAACCUGGGAACUGCAUUUGUGACUGCAUGGCUGGAGUGCGGCAGAGGGGGAUGGAAUUCCGCGUGUAGCAGUGAAAUGCGUAGAGAUGUGGAGGAACACCGAUGGCGAAGGCAGCCCCCUGGGCUAACACUGACGCUCAGGCACGAAAGCGUGGGGAGCAAACAGG